AGAGUUUGAUCCUGGCUCAGAACGAACGCUUGCGGCGCGCCUAAUACAUGCAAGUCGAACGAGGUAGCAAUACCAAGUGGCGCACGGGUGAGUAACGCGUGGAUAAUGUGCCCUUCAGUGGGGAAUAACUAUCCGAAAGGAUAGCUAAUACCGCAUGAGACCACAGUUCCUGCGGGAACAGGGGUCAAAGAUUUAUCGCU
rnacentral:rRNA from 1 species